CUCUGUGGGACACCCCCAUCAUUGAAGUGGACCUUCCCUCAUACCUGAUAUCUACCCAAUCCUGUCAUUGCUGUGUCAGACCUCCUCUGCCUCCCCGGUAUUGUUUAAUAGUUGGUGCCCUUCACACCUCCCCAGUACUUCUGCCCCCAAGACCAGUGAUAGGCUGGGGAGGACCAGAAACGGUUGGAGACCUAAGCAGCCCCACCAUGGGCCCCUCACCUUGGGGCUCCAGCUCUGCCCUUUCUCCAGCACCAUCAAGCAGGUAUCGUCCUCCAGCAUCUGGAAGAAGUCUUCACUCUCCACGGCGGUCCCGUCCUCCUCCAGCACCAGGGUUAGCACCCCACUCAGCAGCAGGGUCUCCAGAACCUGCUCAGUGACAAGUGGCAGGAGGGAAGGGCGGGCCUUCUCCCUCGCCCCUCCUCUCUCUAGUCGGCCCAUCGGCCUUAGACAGUGUGUGCAUGUGAGUGCGUGGAGACCAGGAGAAGGCAUUGGAUCCUCUGGAGUGGAGUUACAUGGUUGUGAGCACAGGUGGGUGCUGGGAACUUGGCCUCAGUCCUUUGCUAAGCUGCUGAGCCAUCUCUCCAGUCCUACACCUCUGUCUGUGGAUACCACAGGAGAAGAUACAGGGAAAGUCUCCUCCACCUUUGGGGUUUGGGAGAGAAAAUCACCCAACCUCAAGAACAUUCCGUACAACACCACCCCCAGCCUGCUUCUCCACCUUGAGGCAGCCCGCUCCAGUCUGGAGUGUGCCGCUUACCUUUACUAACUAGAUUGGAAGUUUGCUAAAUAAACAUCUCAAAUUGU